rnacentral:rRNA from 1 species
UACGGAGGGGGCUAGCGUUGUUCGGAAUUACUGGGCGUAAAGCGCGCGUAGGCGGCUUUGUAAGUUAGAGGUGAAAGCCCGGAGCUCAACUUCGGAAUUGCCUCUAAGACUGCAUCGCUUGAAUCAUGGAGAGGUCAGUGGAAUUCCGAGUGUAGAGGUGAAAUUCGUAGAUAUUCGGAAGAACACCAGUGGCGAAGGCGACUGACUGGACAUGUAUUGACGCUGAGGUGCGAAAGCCAGGGGAGCGAACGGG